rnacentral:rRNA from 1 species
UAACAGAUUGGAAACNACUGCUAAUACCGCAUACGCCCUACGGGGGAAAGGAGGGGACCUUCGGGCCUUUCGCGAUUGGAUGAACCCAGGUGGGAUUAGCUACUUGGUGGGGUAAUGGCUCACCAAGGCGACGAUCCCUAGCUGGUCUGAGAGGAUGAUCAGCCACACUGNAACUGAUACACGGNCCNGACUCCUACGGGAGGCAGNAGUGGGGAAUAUUGCACAAUGGGGGAAACCCUGAUGCAGCCAUGCCGCGUGUGUGAAGAAGGCCUUCGGGUUGUAAAGCACUUUCANCGAGGAGGAAAGGUUGGCAGCUAAUAUCUGUCAGCUGUGACGUUACUCGCAGAAGAAGCACCGGCUAACUCCGUGCCAGCAGCCGCGGUAAUACGGAGGGUGCAAGCGUUAAUCGGAAUUACUGGGCGUAAAGCGCACGCAGGCGGUUGGAUAANUUAGAUGUGAAAGCCCCCGGGCUCAACCUGGGAAUUGCAUUUAAAACUGUUCAGCUAGAGUCUUGUAGAGGGGGGUAGAAUUCCAGGUGUAGCGGUGAAAUGCGUAGAGAUCUGGAGGAAUACCGGUGGCGAAGGCGGCCCCCUGGACAAAGACUGACGCUCAGGUGCGAAAGCGUGGGGAGCAAACAGGAUUANAUACCCUGGUAGUCCACGCCGUAAACGAUGUCGAUUUGGAGGCUGUGUCCUUGAAACGUGGCUUCCGGANCUAACGCGU